CAUAAUAUUCCACCCUGUGGCACAUCAGGGCAGAGUGUGCUUCCUUGGUCCAGUCUUCCGCUGCCGCCCAUCGAGCAUGCAAGAAGCYGCCUGGUCUGGGAUUGCAGAGAAUCCGAGGCGUGGAGGGGUGUCCGCAGCCCCCCCUCCGGCAGCUCCACAUCCUGCCUCAGGGGGGACGUCCGCCACAGCAGAGGAGCCAGUGUGACACGUUAUCGUUAGCUCAAGUCCCCAGUGUGACCCCAGGGUCCCCUCGGAGGGCGCACAGAGUCUGCUGCCCGAAAUCCCCUGGCUGGCCGCGCCGCCCCUUGCGACUGCACCUGCUGCCUCCCCUCCGGGACUCGGGGACAGCCUCCGCUCUGCGGGCCGCGGGCUCCUUUCUGUGGUGCCAACAGCCCGUGCCAUCCACCCAGAAGCGCAGGUGCUGCUUCCGUCUGGGCUGCAGGGUUUUGUGUGACAUCAAUUUUCUGCUCCUGCGGGUGACCUGAGGGCCGAGCUUCCGGGUGGUGGUGGAGAGAGGGUUUGGUUUGGUAACCCGCUGCCAGGCUGCCGGAGUGGCCGCACCUUUGGCAUCACCACCAGCAGCAGCCGGAGUUCCUGUGGCUCCACGUCCUCCCCAGACCUGGAGUGGGCACUGUUUUGGAUUUGGGCCACUCUCAUAGGUGCACAGUGGGAUCUUGCUUUAAUUUGCCUGAUUUUUAAGUAAACAUUUGUUGAUCUGC